ensembl:lncRNA
GCAUCGUUAGGGGAAAUGGGAACACCUGGACCUCUGGCUCCACCUCAACAGGAACUGGAAGAACAGCUGAGUCUUGAAGAAGCUAAACUGGGAAAGGGCAGAGGUAAUGCACUGAGGAAUCCCAUGCAAGUUCUGACACUGGAAACAGCAAACCUAAGUUUAAAAUGGGCAGCUUUCCAUCCCAGGGCCACUGUGGCUCCAGACGACAUAUGCACCAAUAGGAAAUCAGUUUCUGGAUUAAACCCUUGGCCUGGAUGAGUGGGUUACCUUUCUCAGUUAUGGAUGUUUGAGCAAUCAUUUUUUUCAGAUUGAAGCAGGCAACACAAGGUAUCCCACUCAUUUUGUAGUGCUAAUGGGCCCUGCUAAGCAGACUAAUCCCAUAAUGUGAUUUGCCUUAAAACCACCACGCAGUAGAACUGGAGGCAGAAAUGACCAACAGGGUAAAGGAAAAACUGGGCAAGAAAACCCUGGGCUGGGGAAUAAAGGCUUCCAACUUCACCAGGAAGUGGCUACUGGAGUUUAGCAAUCUAGGAUCUUCAGGUGCGGCCUGGGAACUCUUAGUUGCGGCCUGUGGGAUCAAGUUCCCUGAUCAACGAUGGAACCAGAGUUCCCUGCACUAGGCUUGCAGUUUCAGCCACUGGACCACCAGGGAGGUCCCAAGACCCGAAUUCCCUACCUUGGCAUCCAAAGCCAUUUGCAACUUGAAUUAAACUGAUUUUCUUCCGCCUCUUGUCACUUUCAACUCUCCAACACUAUUGCCCCAAAAUGCCUUUCCUUUCCUUCACACCUUCAUCAUGCCCUUCCCUCUUCUAUCUUCAAGGCUGAGCUAAAAUGUCACCUCUUCAGUGAAGCCUACCCAUUUCCCCAAUGGUUUCUUCCUUCACGUUCCAUUAUACUUAUCAC